rnacentral:tRNA from 1 species
GGUUUGUGGCUCAGUGGUACAGUGCUUGCCUAGCAUGCGUGAGGCCCUGGGUUCGAUUCUUAGCACCA